rnacentral:rRNA from 1 species
UACGUAGGGGGCAAGCGUUGUCCGGAUUUAUUGGGCGUAAAGAGCGUGUAGGCGGUCAGGUAGGUCCGUUGUGAAAUCCCGGGGCUCAACCCCGGAACUGCCUUUGAUACUGGGUAUCUCGAGUCCGAGAGAGGUGAGUGGAAUUCCGAGUGUAGAGGUGAAAUUCGUAGAUAUUCGGAGGAACACCAGUGGCGAAGGCGGCUCACUGGCUCGGUACUGACGCUGAGGUGCGAAAGCGUGGGGAGCAAACAGG